rnacentral:rRNA from 1 species
CCUACGGGCGGCAGCAGUGAGGAAUAUUGGUCAAUGGGCGCUAGCCUGAACCAGCCAAGUAGCGUGAAGGAUGACUGCCCUAUGGGUUGUAACCUUCUUUUAUAUGGGAAUAAAGUGCAGUAUGUAUACUGCUUUGCCUGUACCUUAUGAAUCCGGAUCGGCUAACUCAGUGCCAGCAGCCGCGGUAAUACGGAGGGUCCGAGCGUUAUCCGGAUGUAUUGGGUUUAAAGGGAGCGUAGGUGGAUUGUUAAGUCAGUAGUGAAAGUUUGCGGCUCAACCGUAAAAGUGCAGUUGAAACUGGCAGGCUGGAGUACAGUAGAGGUGAGUGGAAUUCGUGGUGUAGCGGUGAAAUGCUUAGAUAUCAGGAAGAACCCCGAUGGCGAAGGCAGCUUACUAAACUGUGACUGACAUUGAGGCUCGAAAGUGUGGGUAUCAAACAGGAUUAGAUACCCGAGUAGUC